UCCCUGGUGGCUCAGACGGUAAAGAAUCUGCCUGCAACACAGGAGACCCAGGUUCGAUCCCUGGGUCGGGAA
rnacentral:tRNA from 1 species